UGAUUGACGUCCUUUAUUCAACCAGGUGAGGAGCCCGUUGAGAUGACAUCGUGAUUGACGUCCUUUAUUCAACCAGGUGAGGAGCCCAUUGAGAUUGAGUGUUUCUCGUGUUUGACAUCCUUUAUUUAACCAGGUGAGAACCCAUUAGAAGACAUUGAACCUCUCGUAAACGACUCCCCUUAUUUCACUUCUUCGUUGUCACUAACUGUAUCAUGCUUUUUUUUAAACACAAAGUGACUGCAUUACAAUCACGGAAGCACUGAAGAAAGUUACUUCAAAGUUUGUUUUUUUACUCGUGAACGCAGCCUCACACUGAUGUG